UUCAGUGUUCGCCUUCAAAGACUAUUUGGUUGUUUCAAUGGUAACAUGGAGUAGUUGUAACUUCUAACAAGGUUGUGCUAUGAGUGACACAUGAUGGGAAAUACUUAGCCAACAAUCAUCAUGUCAUCAUGUGGGUGGGUGUGGUCCAAUGGGUGGAAGGAUCGUGGGCAGACAGGGCAGACCUGAGCUCAUGGGGCUCAUUGAGCCUGAGGGCUCCCCCUGGGCUCAUAGGGCUCAUUGAGCCUGAGGGCAGCCCCCUGGCUGCUCAGGCCAGCUGUGAAUGAAACCCUGCCCUGCCAGUUCCUGUGGGUCUACACGUGCUGACAGCAUUGGGAAGUCAAAAUGAACCACCAAAAUGGAAAAGAACCGAGCAAACGUGUCAUUCCUCCACAAAGGACUUGGUUUCCCAGCCUCAGAGAGCUCAGGGGGCGCUGGUGGAGGUGAUAGCUCCUGGAGGUGAUAAAGAGGAGGCCCAGAAAACUUUGAGUGGCUAAAUACUCCGCCUGGGAAUGAAGAGAUCCGAGAGAAGCAGAGCUUCAUCUUGCAACCAUGGCCAAUCCUGGAGCAUCAGGUUUCCUUUUUCUGGUUCGGCGGGAGAGAGAGAGAAGCAAGAGGAGUCCACCCAUGGGAUCAGGUCCGUCCCUUCCGUCUGACCGGCCCCCACCUCGGCCCCUUGCCCAUCCCCGGAGUACUUAUAACCAUCGUCAGAGAAAUGAUACACUGGCUGACUCCUUUCUGCCAGACUCCACUGAGGAAACAGAAGCUGCCAGAUUGCUCCGUAAUCACCUCUGCUGUGUGGCCUGCCUCUGCCCAGGAUGCUGGCUCCCUGUGGGUGCGGUUGAUGACCCGGCCCCUGGCCCUGGACCCCCACCCCAGGUCACCUUCGCAGGCCCUUGCUCUGGCAAGUGCCACCCCCGCCCCCAACUCUAUGAGCAGACAGAUCUUUGGGAGCUUGCAGCUUAAAAACAAAGCAAAACCACUCUUCCUUGACCAUCCUUCCAUCCUUUCAACAGCAUGACAUCUUCAAAAGGUUGCAUAGAGUCACCGGCUCCCGUGCCUCAGUCCUUCCCCUCUCAAUUCACUGUCCUGGACUCUCUGAGUCCACCCGCCAUGCCACUGAACCGGUUCUAGCCAUGGUUAGGAGCCACCACGAUUUGCCAGAGAGCCGCUUGCGACCUGUAUGGGAGGUGACCCUCAGCGCUUUCCUCAGCCACCCUCUUCUCUCAGCGUCUACAGCACCCGCUCUCCUGGGAGGGUUUUCUCGGUGGGUUCCGUGCCUGCCACUUGCCUUCUUUCACUGUCCUGAGCAUCCUGAGUCUGACCUGGGGCCUUCCUCUCUCCUCCCUUCCUCUCCCUCCGUCCCCCUCUGAACUUCCAGACUCAUUCGCCCCAGUUUGUCUGCUCUGCUCCCCUCUUUAAACCUCGUUCCCUGGCAGGUGAUGGGCAGAUUCGGAGUUCCCACCCAAGCUCCCCAUCACGGCUGCUGGCCCUCUCCGCUUCCAUGCCCGAUAACAUCCCUAACCUGCCGUGGUCCACAUGGGGCUGCUGGUUCCUCCCCACCCCGUGUCCCUCAAACCUGUUGCUCCUCCUGUCUUCACCAUCUCACUGAGGGACCCCACAAUUUGUCCCCUUAUGUACUCGUCAGCAAGCCCUGUUGUCCCCUCCCCAAGAAGAGCCUAAUUCCUCCUGCUCUUCCCCCUCCCAGGCUCCAAGCUGCAGCCACAACUCCCCCUUCCCAUCCCCAAACCACUGUGAUAACCUGAUACUGCCCAUUCCUGCCCUCCACACGGGGCCAGAGCAGCCUCAAAAUACUAGAUCAGAUCAUCUCACUCCCUAGUGCAAACCCUCCAGUGGCUUCCUGUUGUGGGCAGAAUAAAAUCUAGAUUUUAUCUAGAGUAAAAUCUCGAUACCUUAUCAUGGCCUAAGAGGCCCUAUUGGAUCCAGUCCUGACCCUUCUCUGACCUUUGCAGGGGAACCCAGGCGGUAGACACCUGGAGCCUCUUCUGGCCAGUGCCCAUGCUGGCUUGUUCCCACCCAGGGGCUUUCAACUCGCUCUGCUCCCUCAUUUACAUGACUGGGUCAUUCCUGUCACUCAGGCCUCAGCUCAAAGGUCAUGUCCACAGAGGCCUUCCCUAGCCACAAAGUCUAAAUGAACCCCUCGCUCCCCAUCACUCUCUACCCCGAACCUUGUUCUAUAUUUGUUCUCGAAGUUAGCGCUAUUUAAAUGAUCUUUUCAUUCAUUUAUUUAUUUAUUCAUUUAUUUAUUCUCUAGCUCCUUCCCAUUUGUAUAGACUACACCCACCAGGGGACAGUAUACUUGUUUUUGUUCUGUGGCCUCAGCACCUAGAGCAACAGCAGGAGCCAACAAUAGUAAUUCGCUGAAUGACUCCAUUUGCCUCACUUACCUCUGUCUUUCCCGGGAAUGGCCCCCAGAGGGUGCAGGACAAGUAGCUCCCUCCUCUUUCUGUUGCCACUGAACUCACGUGGCAACAGCUCCUGUCGCUCACACCUGGAGGAAGGCAGGUGAGGAAAAUCUAGAACUUGACUUCCCGCGCUCACAGACGAGUGGGUGGUGGGAGAUGAAACAUCAGAAAGCCACAGGGCUGCCGUUUGAUAAAUGGCACGAGAGAGAGGGAAGCGCAGGUUGACACUGAAACUCAAGGAGGAGCGUCUAGCACGGGAGGGUGAGGUCAACCAGGUUUUCCUGGAAGAGGGGAUGCCGAAGGGGAGUUUUAAGGAUUGAGAGGAGUCAGGUAGGUGGAGAAGGGAUGGAAGGUGGGAACCAACACUGCAGCAGAAGGAGUGAGGGAGGCUCACAAGUCUUGGGAAGCCAUGGGGAGCGCGCAAGGAGGUAAGGAAGACUGGAGAUUGAGUUCGAGGAGGACAGGAGGUGGGCAUGGGAAGGUAGGAGACUGGACGAAGGAAGAGACCUUAUUGUUAAAGGCCUUGUAACAAAGCCACCGCCGUUCACUUUUAUCGAGCUCUCACUAUGUGUGAGGCACCGAGUCCUCUCAUUUCACCCCCUGACAGCCCUGUCGUCGGGUAGGUUCUGUCACGAUCUUCAGUUUACUGGUGGGAAAUGGUGAGUGACUAUCCUGAGGACGCACGGGAAGUAAGUAUGGACUCCGCAUCAAAGCCCUUGGAAACAUAUUGUAAAUGCUGUGAAACACAAGCCCUGGGUCUCCUGUGAUAUUUCUUGAUUUCUCUCUCUCCCUCUCUUUUUAGAAGGGGAAGGAGCAGAGAGAGAGAAUCUUAAGAAGGUUCCACACCCAGCGCAGAGUCCCGCACGGGGCUCCAUCCUACAACCCUGAGCUCAUGACCUGAGCUGAAACCAAGUCUGAUGUUUGGGUCACCUGGGUGGCUCAGUUGGCUAGAGGUCUGACUCUUGAUUUUUGGCUAGGGUCGUGAUCUCAUGAUUGUGAAAUAGAGCCCCAUGAGGGGCUCCACACUCAGCACGGAGCCUGCAAAAGAGUCUCUCUUUCUGCACCUCCCCGCCAAAAUAAAUAUAUAAAUAAAUCUUUAAAAAAAGUCUAGCAUUUAACUGACUGAGCCACACAGGGGCCCCCUUAAUUUCUCUCUCUGGGGCUUAGCUUUCUUUGUGAUAAAAUGGGACUGAUAGCAGUGUGGAGUUUGUGAGAAUUUAAUGAGAUAAUUCAUACAUAUAAAAGUGCUUAGCACUGAAUCAAAAUUAGUUCCUGCUCAGUAAAUAUGAGCUACUACUGUUAUUAUUAAAUUUCUGUUUUUGGAAAUAUUGAUACUGAAAGACUACUAUUAUACCUGGGGAUUCUUUUUUUCCUUGCAGUGGAAAUAGGACUUGACAGAGCCUAGAGUCUGACUGGCUCUCCUCUUUCAUUUAUGAUUGGUAUCUCAGUUUACUCCUUUAUACCAUAUUGUGAAUGUCUAACUUUGGUUCUUCCUCUUCUCUUCCUCUUCUUUUUCUCCCCUUUCUUUCUAUCUGCUAGUAUCUUCUUAGAUCCAGAUUGACAGAUAAAAAUACAGAACUGAUGUUUCCAUGGAAGAAUUAAUGCUUUACAUUUUUGUUUUCUUAUCAUAAAGUACUGCAUGCACACAUUAAAAAAAAUUCUUAAAAUACAGGGGUGCCUGGGUGUCUGAGUCAGUUUAAGCAUCUGACUCUUGAUUUCAGCUCAGGUCAUGAUCUCAAGGUGGUAAGAUUGAGCCCCACAUCAGGCACAGCUGGGAGCCUGCUUGAGAUUCUCUCCCUCUCUCUCUGCCCCCCACCUCUCUACAUAAAAUAUUUUUUAAAAAAGUCUAACAAUGCAAACGGAUAAAACACGAAAUGUAAAAGCCGACCUCUUUACCCACACCCUCAUAUAUAAUGUACUUGCAGUUGAACAUAAUCAUCUCUAUUAUUUCUUUUUUCCCAGAAAUUUGUAUGUGUAUAAAUAUACAUGAUCUUUGGAGUUUCAUUUAUAAUAAUACUGUAUUCUGCCCAAUUUUUUCACUUAAAAUAAUUUAGCUUGGAGAUUUUUCUUUUCACUAUGGAUAAAUGUAUUGAUUCUUCUGAACAGCUAGGUAGUAUUGAUUUCACAAGUUAUUAUAGUUCAUUUAAUGCUCUCUUGAUAGACAUUUAAAUUUUGCCUUGUUUUUUUACUCUUACAGAUAAUAUUACCAUGCUGUCCCUGUACAAUAUAGAUUUGCCUCCUUGUGCAAGUGUUUCUGUGGGAAAAAUUCCUGGAAGGAAAAUUUGCUGAGUUAAAGAAAAUGUGCUUUUAAAAUUUUAAUAGUUAUUGUCAAAUUGCUUUCCAAAGAUGUCGUGGCAAUUUGCAUUCCAUUAGUAAUAUGCGAGAGUUCCUAUUUCCCAUAUCCUUGAGAGUGAACAAAAUUUAAUUUUUGUGAAUAUACUAAGUAAAAAAACUAUAUUUGAUUUUAUCUUACAUUUCUUUGAUUAUAUAGAAAGCUGAAAAAAAUCUUUUCACAUGUUAAUUGUCUAUUUGCUUUUUUUGGCUGCAAACUGUUUACCUUUGCCUAUUUUUUCAUUGAAUUGUUUGUUUUUUAUUCUUGCUGAUUUUUAGAUCUGUUUGUGUAUUAAAGAAAUUUAUCUCCUUCCUGUUACAUAAAUUACCAAUUUUUUUUUCUAUCCUGUGGUUUGUCUCUUGAUUUUGUGUAUGGUAUUCUCUGUCUUGCCAAAGGGCUAAUUUUUUAUGUAAUUUUGUCUUUCUUCUAUUAUAUGUCUCUUGACCCUCACCUGUUCAAAAUUGGGGGAAAAAAUUACCAAUGAUUUUUCUAGUAUUGCUACAGUUUCGUAUCUUACAUUUUUAAGUUAUUGAUUAAGUUAGAAAUGAUUUGAGCCCAAGAAGUGAGGUAACCAGUGACUUGUCUGGCACUAACAUUUCUGAAUUAUUCAUAUUCUUCCAUGGACUUAAAAUAUCAUUUAUACUCUAAAUUCUCAAAUGUAUUUAGGUCUAUUUCUGGGAUCUCUGUUCUCCACUAACAUUUUGUUAUUUCCUGUACUUUCUCUGCAAUGUCUUUCUGUGUUUCCUGUAAUUUCUCUACCUGUAAGAUGUCUUAAUGUUGGGUAAAAUUAGUUCUCCCUCCUGUCAUUAUUCUGUUUAUAGUAGUACCGGCUAUUUUCACUCCUUUAUUAUUCCAAGCGCCCUUCGUAUCAUUUUGUCAGGUUCUCAAAAAAAAUUCUGCUGCCAUUUGGGUUGGAAUUACAAUUGCUUCAGGGAAAUGAAGCUAUGUUGUUCCGUUUACUUCUGUCUUCUUUUAUGUUCCCAAAUUAAUCAGGAUACUAUGGACUAUGCUGCAAGAAUAAUUAAAUGUUUAAAUCUCAGUAGAUUAAUUCAACAAUGUUUUGUUUCUCAUGCAUACAAAUUCCAAUGUGGUUCAGCUAGUCUUCGGGAUAAGGGUCCAUUUCAGUAGCAACUGCACUGCCCAGGCUAACCUGAUCUUACAGCUUUGCUCUCUCAACUCGAAGCCUCCAUAGACUGUGGGAGAAACAUUUAUGGUUAAACAAUUACCCAUGUGCUCCCUCAGAUUUCUGCCCUCCCCCCGCCCCCGAGUAGUUACAUGGGGGCCAUUAGACUAAUUCUAGACAAUGGGUUUUGAACUGAAAUGAUGUGUCUCACUUUGGGGUCAAAGCUUAGAAAAACCGAUGUGAAUUUUUCCUAUGCUCUCUUCCCUUGUUGUCCAAUUGCUGAGACACUCAGUUGAAAUGAUAUGGUCAAAGGCAGAUAGACUCCCUGGAGACUUUCGUGGCUCAUAUCAAACCUGGUGUGCACAUGAAAUAACCUUUAUUGUGUCAAGGUCACUGAAAUUCUUGCCAUGUGUGUGCGAAUCUGUAUAUAUAUAUAUAUAUAUAUAUAUACUGUUUAUAUGUGUGUAUGUAUACUGCAUAUAUGUGUGUGCGUAUAGAUGUAUAGAUGUAGAGAUACCUCCUAUCCUGACUAAUAUAAAAAUUAAUACCAAAAGUGAUAUGCUGCUGGAAAAAAACUUCAAAUAUUGGCUUGGCAAUCAGGUAGUAACAAUGAGAAAACUGAUUUUAGAGGCAGGAAGAAGGCAAAACAUUUGGUAAAGGUGUUCCUUGUGAUUAUCUUAAAGGUGGUUCAUUUACCAAACUUACAGUUCAGUGAGGAGAUGUCAGGAAACAGAACUUUAGGAUUAUAUGUGGUUGCUGGGGCACUUGGCUGGCUCAGUCAUUAAGCAUCUGCCUUUGUCUCAGGUGAUGAUCCCAGGGUUCUGGGAUCAAGCCCCACAUCGGGCUCCCUACUCCGUGGGAAGCCUACUUCUCUCUCUCCCACUCCCCCUUGCUUGUGUUCCUUCUCUUGCUAUGUCUCUCUCUGUCAAAUAAAUAAAUAAAAUCAUGAAAAAAAUUAUAUGUGGUUGCUACUGAUUGUGUUUAGCAAAGUAUUGAAAGAGAGAGAGAGAGAGACAGAGAAACAGAAUGAGUUGAAGAGGGUUGGCAAAAAAAGCAAAGAAAUAAAGCUUAUAUAAGAGGUCCCUCAGGGAUGCCUGGGGGGCUCCAUUGUUUGUCUCAUCUCCAUAGCAUCUGCCUUUGGCUCAGGUCAUGAUCUCAUGGUUCUGGGAUCAAGUCCUAUUGGUCUCCUCAUUUAGUGGGGAAACUUACCCCUCUGCCUGCUGCUUCCCUCCUGCUGUGCUCUCUGUCUCUCGCUCUCUCUCUGACGAAUAGAUAAAAUCUUAAAAAAAAAAAAAAAAAAAAAGAGUCAUCCCUCAAAGAGAACACUGAAUGUGGUUCCUUGCUCAAGGUAAUGGCUGGAAGCAGAUAGACAGAGCCUACUAUAUUUGUGAGAGAGUUGUACAGGACCACCAAAGAAACCAUAAAGCUGUUCUUCAAAGCCCAAGUUCCCAACCUCAAUUCCAGGCAGGAAAUGGGCUUUGAAAGCUGUGUAGUCCUAUGGAGAGACAACACCCCCAGUGCCCACAUUAGGUAUGACCCAGGAAGGUAACAGAACAGGAAAGAUUUCCCAGUCGGUGGUGCCAAGAAGUUCUGAGAACUGUCCCACAGCCUGGGAGUGGACCUGGGAUGUUGUGUCUGUAUCCAUGAUGUAUUGUUUAAUCAGGGUAGGGCAGUUGUCUUAUGUUUGCCUAAUCAGAGUCUAUGAGAAAUUUGAGAGUGGGACGGAGACGUUCCUUUUAAUCUGAGAGGCUUUGUUGUUCUGAGGUAAUAAGAACUAUUGUGGGGGUUGACCAUCUCUCAACCAUCAAGUGUGCUGAGAAUUCUGUAAGGAAAGCUCAUCUUUUCUUUAGAGAAGGAAAACAAAAAUGUUUCUUGUGCAGAAGCAGAGAUAAGAAACCAUAAGUCUGUUAUACUUAUGGGAGGAGGAAGGAAAGAGAGAGAGAGAAAUAUGAUUCAACCUGGUUCUCUGGGAGCUUUCUAUUUCUCCUGGCUCCCUCUAGUUUAAGUCCCAAGCUGCCUCCCAUGGGUUCUAGGAGAUACCCCUGCAUCAUUAUAGUCCAUCUCCUUUUCUUGUUUAAGUUUGAUUGUGUUGGUUUCUACCUUUUAAAAUUCAAAGAACCUUAAGGGAGGAAGUUCCCAUACCUUAUCACUGCAAAACAUCUCCAGGAAGGCACCUCCCCUUCCUUCCUGCUGUAUAGGUUACAGUCACAGACAUGGCAAUGAGAUUUCUCAGCCUGGUCUGAUUUAAAGUCAAUACAAGGGAAACUGGAAUAUUGACUCAUGCUUCCAUCCCCACCUACACUGGCCAAAUUUAAGGAUUAUCACUUAGCACCAACACUAAGAAAAGCAAGAAAGUCAAAUAAAACAUAAUGAUUCCAAUUUGCCUUGGAGAAAACUCUCCUCUUUAUUUUCCUUAUCCUUCACUCUCCUGAGCUCUGGAAAAGUUAUUUCCUAUUCAUCUCCUUUCUUCCUUCCUGCAACAUCCCCCACCUUCCUUUCUCACUCUUACUCGAUGACCUUACUGCUAUUCCACUGAAAAAAAAGAAAUUGCCAGAAGAUAACUUUCUUUCUUUCUUUCUUUUUUUUUUUUUUAGAUUUUAUUUAUUUAUUUAUCAGAGAGAGAGAGAGAGUAAGAGAGAGUGAGCACAGGCAGACAGAAUGGCAGGCAGAGGCAGAGGGAGAAGCAGGCUCCCUGCUGAGCAAGGAGCCCGAUGUGGGACUCAAUCCCAGGAUGCUGGGAUCAUGACCUGAGACGAAGGCAGCUGCUUAACCAACUGAGCCACCCAGGCAUCCCAAAAGAUAACUUUCUUACCCUUCCAGACUAAAUCUGCUAAACUACCAGCAAGCAUACGUGUUUUCUUGGCCCUCAGUCCAGUGCUUAUCAGCACUGUCCAAGAGAGUUGUCCUUGAGGAUAGAGAUGUCCAUAUUGUCUCUGUUCAAUACACAGGUUGCUUGCCACAUGUAACUAUUGAGCAUUUGAAAUGUGGCUGGUGCAACUAGGGCACUGACUUUUACAUUUUAUUUAAUUUUAAUUAAUUUAAAUUUAAAUGGCCACAUCUGGCUAGUUGGGUGGCUGCUGUGUAGGAUAACACAGAUACAGAUAAUUCUUGAGUUUCACUAUACAGGGAACAAAGAAAUGGGGUGGACAGUCACAGAGGGAUAGGAUCAGAGCUGCACUUUUUAAAAGGAUGGAUAAAUGAUAUUUUAGCACAGGAGAUGGAAAUGAUCCAGUAGAGAUAGAAAAAUAGAUGAAACGGGAGAAAGCAGAGUCAACUGUAGAAACAAAGUAGAUCCUAGGUAAAGGCAGGCCAUUGCAUAUGGUGGCAUAGUCUCAUAUGGUGGCCACUAGCCACAGGUGGCUAUUUAAAUGUAUGUUUGUUAGAACAUCAUGAAAUGUUAAAUUUAUUUCUCAGUCACGUUAGUCAUAUUUCAAGUACGUUCCAUAUUAGAUGUAAUUUCUAUCACAGAAGAAAUUGCUGUUAGUUAGACAGUGCUGCCUUUUCCUUUCUGUCUUCUUUUCGUAUUAUCAUUCUGCGUUUUGCAUAUUUUAAAAAAGUUUUUUUUUUAAGUUUUUAAGAUCGCCUUUACACACAUGCAUAGAUUUGAGAGCCAGAAAACCCUCCAUUUUUUUCAUUCUUUCCCAAUUCUUUUCAUUCUUUCUCAAUUUUCUACUCUCCAAGUCAUCACAUUGAAUUUUUUUAUCUUUUUCAAAAAUAUUCAUGUCUCUAAUUCUAAAUAAUUUUCUUGUACUGUUUCUCAAUUGUUUUCCAAGGUCUGGACACUGCUGCGAUUUCUUAUGAAAUGUGUGGAGUUAGCCUGCCCACACCACCUCCUCUAUCUCGCUGCACACACAUGAACACUUCCUGCCCCUAUCUCUCAACAGAGUCAAACAAUUAUUAUGGUAAGAUCCAUAUUUUGUGUUUUAACCCUCCGGCAACUUUAAAUCACACUGUAAAAUCCAAAAUCCUUACCGUGAUGUGCAAGACCAUCCCUCUUCUAUCCCCAGGCCACCCUGUUUUACCCUUGUUCGCCACACAUGGUUCACACUACGCCCUUGCAGUCCCUCCAAAAUGUUUUUAUUUCAGGGUCUUCCCACUUGCUGUUACUGCUGCCUAGAAUGCUCUACUCACAAAGCUCUCUCCUCCAGUCAUUCAACUGUCGCCUCCCCAGAGAGACUGUCCCUGGACACCUUACUGGAUGGGGGAAACUCUGGCAUUCUCUAUCCUUUUGUUCAGUUUAAUUUAUUUAAUUUAAUUUAUUUUAUUUAUACCUUACUGGAUGGGGGAAACUCUGGCAUUCCCUAUCCUUUUGUUCAGUUGAUAAAAUCCCACAGGUCCUAGAAGUAUAUUUAAUUAUCAAAUCUUCUUGGCUAAAAAUAUAUAUCGGUCUUUGUUGACCACAUAAUUCUAGUGAUCAAUUAGGAUACGUUCUAAAAUCUAUUGAUCCUGAACAGUACCUGGCCUUAUGUUUUUGUUUAUGUCUGUUUGUUCUCUUUGUUCUCCAUUAAAACAUAUGCUUCAUGAGAGGAGGGUCUUAGGCUUUUCUUUCAUUCCAGUGUCCCCAGCACCUAGAACGUCCUCUGGCACAUAGUUGGUGCUCUGGUGCUCGAAAGUUAUUUGUCUAAAUAAAUGAAUGAGUGAGUAAAUUGAUGAAUUUAGCCAUUUCCGAAGCUAAGCCAGUUUUGCAUUCACGUUGGUGGGAAAAGUGAGUUCUGUCCAGGCCAACCCACAGAAACCAUUCAGAUACUGGCCAUUUUCCACAGGCUGGGAAACUGUCCUGGGAGGUAGGGUUCAGACUCAUCAUCUCCUUGGCUCCUUAUGAUGACCUCUUAGAAGAGCACAGAGCAACUUGUUUCUUUGUUCUUUUAAAGUAAUCCUGUCUUAAUUAGGAGGUAGCAUGGACAUUCCUUUUUCAUCAUGGAUCAUUAGUACCUUGCUAGCAAAUCACUUACAUAGCUCCUGUCCGUGCUGGUAUCACUCUGACUAAGUGUUAUAGAUCAGCUUACUUGUUCUCCACUGGGCAGAAUUUGCUGUUAUAACAUCUCCUCCAUCCCUUCCAAUAAACCAAAGAUGGUAUUCAGUGAAGUUAGGACAAGAGCUCAGUAGUCUAAAAAGGUAACUCAGCCCUAUUGUUACCAUCUUAAUAGUUGAUAAAAUCCCACAGGUCCUAAAAGUGUAUUUAAUUAUCAAAUCUUCUUGGCUAAAAAUAUAUAUCAGUUUUUGUUGAACAUAUAAUUCUAGUGAUCAAUUGGGAUACAUUCUAAAAUCUAGGACAAAAUACAUUUUCAAACGUAACUUCUAUUUCUUUCGCAAAUGUAAUUUUAUUUUUCUCACAUACGCAAUGUCUUCAUCGCAGAAAUCUCAGAGAAUACAGUUAAACAGAAGAAAACUGAAAACAUCUAUAAUUAAUACUAUACCCUGAACAUUUAUUUGCAUAACUUCCAGGUCCUUCUGAGAGUACAGUUCAAUGUAUGCAUAACAUUAUUAAAUAAAUAAGCUUCACAUUCUUACAUGGAGAAGAUCCUCUGGAAAAGAGGUGGGUAUAAACAAAAAUGAAUGCUUUUGGAUUCAAUAAAAGGAUAAGAUACCUUUCAUCAGCAUAUUUUUGGCCAUUAAUAUCAAGCUUGGCUAUUCAUAAAAGUUCUGACCCUUGAAUAUUGUGUUCACUGUUCUUUGUAGAAUAACCAAAAGAAAGAAAGAAAAGAAAGAGAAGGCAAGGGUAGGGUAGGGAAGAAAGGGAAGGAAAAAAGCCUGUGUUAAUUGGCGGUGAUGCACGUAGCCUCAGUCUAUGUAAAGUAAUGAUCUGAACAAAAACCCUGAACACAUAUGGCUAGUAGAAUAGCUGUGGUUAAUAAUGCUUAUGUAAUCCAAAUAAAGUUAAUGGGUUUUAGGACCAAUCCCUGGGAUAUUUAAGGUCAAAGAGAAUGAAAUGGGAUGUGAGGGUGAUCUGGCUGGGACAUCUGUUGUGUCCCACUGAUCCGCCAGGGUUGAUUCGCCUGAUCUGGCUGCCUCGGCCGGUGUCCACGUCCUCCAUCACCGCCCCACAUAUGUCUCUCCCCAAGCAAUGUGCUGGGGGGGAAGAGGACCACUUACCCAGAUAGAGGAGUCUCCCGUCAAGGGUAUAGGAAUAGCUGGGCUCCUCACUAGAACUUCAAACAAGCUCUCAAGGUCCGUCCUAGAAGCUUAAAAAAAAAAAAAAAAGAAAAGAAAGAAAGAGAAAGAGAGAGAAUUAAAUGAAAACCAGGAUUCUCAAUCUCAGAAAAGAUUGCUACCAAAGACAUAUUAUCCAGUCCCUCAAUUAUAUCCAAUGUUUGGGGUCCAGUUUUUCUUUUUAAAAUUGAGCACUUAAAUAAAUAAAAUAAUAAUAAUACUCCAUAGUGUAUAUGGACCACAUCUUCCUUAUCCAUUCGUUUAUUGAAGGGAAUCUUGGUUCUUUCCAUAGUUUGGCAACCGUGGCCAUUGCUGCUAUAAACAUUACCUUCCCCUCUUUUUUUUUUUUUUUUUAAAGAUUUUAUUUAUUUAUUUGAUAGAGAGAGAUCACAAGUAGGCAGAGAGGCAGACAGAGAGAGAGAGGGGAAUCAGGCUCCCUGCUGAGCAGAGAGCCCGAUGCGGGACUCGACCCCAGGACCCUGAGAUCAUGACCUGAGCCGAAGGCAGCGGCUUAACCCACUGAGCCACCCAGGUGCCCCACCUCCCCCUCUUUUUUUAAUAGAAUGGCAGCCAGAACAAAUAUUUCUUUCUAUUUAUUCAAAAAAUAAUAAACCAUUUUGAACUCACUUAUUUUGCUAAAGAAGUAGUGGACCAAAAGGAAACAUUCAAGUAUUAUCAGGACUGAAUCUAAAUUAAACUCAUAGUCCUUUUCUUUUGAAUUUCUGCUCUGAGGAUCAGUGGGACUGAAGAGAUGUUUUCCACAUAUGUAGAGGUAGAGGAAAGGUUUCUGGGCCCUGCUGUGGGAGUAACUGAUCCUCAGAGUCAUUAGUACAUUCUGUCUGUAGGGCAAGGGCACAUAGAGUGAUCUCUGCAUGUACUUUGUAUCUCAUGCUACAAAAGCUUCAGGGGUUGAACAGCACAGCUGUGCUUUCCACCUUCAUCAGGUUCAUUGCUGAGGAGGAGAUGAAUAUGAAACAAACAAGUCUUUAGGCCCAAAGGAGAACGAAUGACUUUAGGAGUGAAUAACUGGAGAUCCAAUCUUUGUCUCCAGGCUUGAGGUAAAGCCUUUCUGAGGAAGUCACCAUUCGGUGGAAUCACCUGAUAAAAGUUGAAGAGGAAGUUGAAGGAGAGGUUGGUCUCCACCCCACCCCUUCCCCAGAACUUCUGGUGAGAGGCAGCAAACAUGGAAAGUCUCAGAAGCAGGCCUUCACCAAACUAUAGGAAGACCUCUGUAGCUAAGGAAUGAGUAAGGGAGAGAUGAGUUCUUGGCUUAUUCUACUGCUACACGUAUAAGCACCAUUAUUUUUUUCAAAGAUUUUACUUAUUUAUUUGACACAGAGAGACACAGUGAGAGAGGAAACACAAGCAAAGGGAGUGGGAGAAGGAGAAGCAGGCUUCCCACAAGCAGGGAGCCUGAUGCGGGGCUUGAUAUCAGGAUCCUGGGAUCAUGACCUGAGCGGAAGGUGGCUGCUUUAUGACUGAGCCACCUAGGUGCUCCUAUAAGCACCAUUAUAAAUAGGGAUGGUGGAUAUUUGGGAAGAGAACUAUCAAACUGUGGUGUUAAAUCCACAGAAUACAAAAUCACCCCCUUCCUUUUAUAAUUCUAAUCAGUCCUCCAUAGUUUCCUUUCUUUGCUCUCAUCUGAAAGGUUGAUGGGCUCCAUAGUUCUGUCCUUGCUCUUGGUCCUUGUUCGUUUUUUUUUUUUUUUUUUAAGAUUUUAUUUAUUUAUUUGACAGAUAGAGAUCACAAGUAGGCAGACAGGCAGGCAGAGAGAGAGGAGGAAGCAGGCUCCCUGCUGAGCAGAGAGCCCGAUGUGGGGGCUCGAUCCCAAAACCCUGAGAUCAUGACCUGAGCCGAAGGCAGAGGCUUAACCCACUGAGCCACCCAGGUGCCCCUCCUUGUUUGUUUUUAUGCUGCACACUCUCCUGGAAGAUCCCUGGUGUUUCUCAAGCAGGUCUGACAGGCUUCUACCCCAGGGCCUUUGCCCAUCCAUGUCCUUCCACAGAGGACUUUCUUCUUCCUGUCUUCUCAUGGGUUACACUCUCUUAUUCUCUCUCCUAUUAGGCUACAUCUGCUCAGCUGUAGCUCUUCUGAGAGGAAUUCUCUGAUCCCUUAACACUCUCUAUUUCCUUACUGUCCUUUAUUUUUCUUGAGAGUACUAAUAUUACCUGGCAUUGUAUGGUAUUUUCUUUUUUAUUCUAGGUCUUCUUUCAACUAGAUUGUAAGUUCCCUGAUCCCAGAACUUUGUCCAUUGUUCACUGCUGCAUAAACAUUCUAGCUACCCAUAUAGUGUUACUGGUACAAAGUAAGCAAUGGGUAUUAGUUUCACGGGCAGAUUAAUGAGUACAUGAAUCAAUGAUGGAAUGAAAUUCAUACUGUCCAUGGAUUCAGCUACUACCCACAUGCUGAUGACUCCAAAAUCUACACUUCCUGCCCCUCCCUCUUGAAAGCCAGAUCCACUUACCCCAACUUCCUGUGAGACAUAUGUGUUGUCACGAUCUAGAGGCACUCACAUUUACUUGCCCCAAACGGAACUCAUCACCCCCAGUAACCUAAACUUGCUAUUCCUCUUGUGUUCCCUUCUUUUGUGAAUGACUCCACCAUCUGCCCCUUUGCCCAAGCCAGAAACCUGAGAAUCAUGUUCUAUUUGUUCCUCUCCCUUAUCCUCCACAUUCAGUCUCUAAAUCCUAUUGAUUCUACCCCCUUUGGCUUGAUCCUUGUCCUGUACAUCCCCACUGACACCAUCUCCUUCACUUGUUUAUUGCUUCUGACUACUUGACAUCCCAUAAAGCUUGUCUCCCACCAAUUCAUGCUUUACUGUGCCACCAGGGAAAUCUUUCUAUAGUGUGCUGUAGUCAUGCUUACCAGUCUCCAGUGCCUACUCUUUGCUGAAAGUUAACAGCCAAGCUUCUAGGUAUGACAUGCAAAACCACUUAAAUUAAGUCUCCAACUAAAUUCUAGAAUAGGUCUCCUGCUGGCUCUCCUCUUAUCUCUGUUUUUGCUCCACCACCACCAUUCACAGUAGCACAAUGAUGAGCAAGGAAUAUUUUCAAUACAUAUCUCUGGGUCACAUUCUCAAAAAAAGUAUGUUUUUCUUAGUUAUGCAGGACCUUCAUGUUUCUGGAUAAAGGGGAGAGUCCUUUAAGACAAUGUCUCUUAUGAUGAUGAUACUCUUAAGAGAGUCUUAAGACCUUUCCAAAAGUUUGCCACUCUGUGGAAGGUGUAGAGCUAUGCCUUCUGAAGGAGCCUGUUCCCAAGUGUGAAAGGAAGACCUGUUAUGUUUUCAACUUCAUCAUUUCCAGGGAAGAGGUUCCAGGGUUCCUCAGAGCCUGCAUCCGAUGGGAAGCCAGGGAACAAGGACCUGGGAAAGCACAGCUGGCAAGAUUGCAGCCCCUAACCCACGAAACAGCGUACAGAAGAGUAAAUGAGCUAAGACCAUACGAGCAUAGGACUCUAAAGCCUAGAGACUGUGGCUCUGAAUAAACACAGAAAAGAAUUUAGAUGCAAGUCAUGUAAAGAGGCCAGGAUGAGCUUCCAAGCAUUCAGAAUCUUACAAUGAUGGUGGUGCUAGAUUGGUAUUUGAUGGAGAGAUGAUCUGAUGCUGUGACAGACCAAGUGUGGACUAGCCUGGAUCUGCAUCUUCUUGCUGGGAGAGCCAUCUCUGUAGUCAUUCUCUCUACUGGGAAAUGGACUUAUUUAUCUACUUACUGGAAGUUUGAACCAAUUCCACAUGCCCUCUCCACCUCAGAAAAACAGCAAAAUCUUAUUUAUAUGGAGCCAUGAGUAAAUGAAGAAUACAUACCAUGUGUAUAUCAGAAAACAAAGCAGACAUCAUUUCCUGCUCUUGUGGAGCUUGACUAUGGAGGAAGGAGACAACAAGAAAAAUUAGCUGUUCUUUCCCUGGCACUCAAAAUUCAAACCCUGCUGAGAAGUUAUCCUGCAUCACUUUUCCAACUAGCAAAACUCCCAUCAGAGAGCGCCAACUAUUUUUGAGAUCUUCAGAGCAUUUCAAAUACAAUGUCACUCAACGAUGGAGAACCUUCUUGGGGACAGGCACCAGACUCAUUGUGGAGAACACAGAGGCGUAUCAGUGGCACAUCCUGUCCUCUGGGAUCUGACAAGGUCAAGGAGAUGCCCAUGAAAAUAACCCAAGGCAGGUGGGAGAAAUGGCACCACACAAACUUACAGGGAAAGAAAGUGAGAAGUUUCUUCCUCAGAGCCUGAGACAUAGGCCCAUGUCUUGUCCUUUCCAAGACUGAGAAGACUUUCUCUGUUACCUAAUCCUGCAACAUCUGUCUUACUUUGAAAUCAGGCCUCUUUGUGGAAACGCCAGCUGAAAAGUCCACUAUGGAGCAAUUGCAUUCGUUGGAAUGCAUUUCUACCAGGUGUCAGGUUUUCUUAGCCUUCGCCUUCUUUUAGACCUCUCAGGGUGUCAACAUGGCCUCUGGAGGAGGGCACUGACUGAAAGGCAGCGUGAGGGUUCAAAUGAAGCCCUGGAGCUUUGUCAGUGGAGCCACAUCAUGGCUAUGAGCUCUGGAGAAUUGCAAGAGACAGAGAAGUUUGUGUUUCUGGGAAGACAAGACCAAGCACCAAGCAGUUAGCUGAGAUGCUCCCUUCUCUGUGGGCUUAAUGAAUGAUACAAUUAAGUUCACAGGUACAGUGUGAACUGUUUUAUUUAUUAAAUUUCUCAUAGGCAUUUCCAUAUUAAAUGACCUUUUUGAAAAACCAAGAAAUAGUUUCAUUUUUUUAGUAAUAUUACAUGUGGUAAGGGUAGGAGUGGGAUGGGGCCAGGUGGAGCUAGUGCUGACAUUAAAAGCAAGAGACUCAGAAGCCCUGUUUCAGUCCAUAUGCAAAUUUUGAGAAGUCAUUUAGCUGCUACCUCAGUUUUCCUAUCUGUGAAAAAUAGCCCCUUAGCCCAGGCCACCCACCUGACACCCAUAUGAACUGUGUACGUGGCCACAUCAACUUUCCAGUACCACAAUUUCCAUUUGGACCAGUCUCAGUUCCUAAAGGGCCAACAGUAAGUUUCCCAUCCCAUGGCCUCUCGGUUCUAAGACUGAGCCCUCCUACAUCCUCAAUCUCAUGAACUGACCAGGUCCUACCACCACCUAACAUUGCUCCCCUUCACACCCCAGUGGGACAUCUUCUCCCUUAUGUCACUGCCUUCCAGGAAAGACCACCAGGAACACCCCAGCAUAACCAGUGGAUGUUUGAGUGUGGGAGUGUUAGAAAAGACCUACAGGAUGUAGGCUUGUGCUUGCUGGUUUGGGGGAUUGUUCAAGGGAGUAGGGCUUGCUCUAGAUCGGGUGCUAUUCAGGAGGCUGGCUCAUUCUCUGGUUGGUAUCAUUAUAAAUGUUAGGUAGGGGGAGGGCAGAUUGCAGGGAGACUAGGGGUGUAAUUGAUAAAGAAGCAGCCAUCUGCCAUAUUAGCUGGGAGAGAUGUUUGGUAUAAUGACUUGGACAAGGUUCAAGUCUUGUCUGUGUUCAGACAUGAUUAUGAAGUGGUCUUGUUUUUAUCUUGAUCCAUCAUGAUCACAGAGUGGCCUUGUCUGAUGCUGAGAUUCCCUGAAAUUAUUUUCCUUCAAUACAGAAGAACGCCAAGACUUAGCUAGUGGUGCCAAGCCCUCUCAGAGCAACACCAGAGAUGGCACCAGGCCUGCAGUUUUCCUUCUCAGCCAGGAGGGUCUCCUUAGCUGUUGAGGAGGAGGCAGGAAAGACAAGAAGUACACACAGUUUAAGGAGGCCACUCUCAGAUACUGGCCAAGCCCUUGCAUGACCCCAACAUGGAGUGAUUCCUUACGUGUCAUGCCUCUCUCCCCUGCAUUGCCUCACCUCUGUCCUUGUCUGUGAAGUCCUCUGCUUUUCCUUCUUUUUUCACCCUAAAUCCUACCCAGAUCAGAUACAGACAUACCAAGACCACUGAUGGCGUUCAGGGCUCCUACCUCAAAAUAUGGCACCUUAGCCUACUGGAUAUUUUAAGCUGAAGGAAUUUGAGAACAUGGCAGAAGCAGGAAGGUCAGUGUGACCUCCUUCCCAUCUCAGCCUUCUUCCCCAAAAUAAGUCAUAAAGUCCUCAUGUGAGACCCCGUGCCUUUGUUACACCCAGUCCCUGGGGGAAAGAAGCAUGCUAUCUCUAAAGACAAAGGGACACCAAGAAGAAUCCUAACAAACAGGACUUGCUAGGUUUCCCCAGUUUACUCCUCUUACCAGAUACUCCUCGUCCUGUCAUAUUCCCCCAUGACUGUCCACUCUCCAUCAAACCUGGCAUAAAAGCGCACAGGUCUAACUGCUUCUUCAGGUCUUCAUGUCCUUAUGAAGGCUUCAGCGUUGUAGAAGACUUACACUAAAUAAAAUUCACGUGCAUUUCUUCUGUUUA